rnacentral:rRNA from 1 species
AUUGAACGCUGGCGGCAGGCCUAACACAUGCAAGUCGAGCGGAUGAAGGGAGCUUGCUCCUGGAUUCAGCGGCGGACGGGUGAGUAAUGCCUAGGAAUCUGCCUGGUAGUGGGGGAUAACGUCCGGAAACGGGCGCUAAUACCGCAUACGUCCUGAGGGAGAAAGUGGGGGAUCUUCGGACCUCACGCUAUCAGAUGAGCCUAGGCCGGAUUAGCUAGUUGGUGGGGUAAAGGCUUACCAAGGCGACGAUCCGUAACUGGUCUGAGAGGAUGAUCAGUCACACUGGAACUGAGACACGGUCCAGACUCCUACGGGAGGCAGCAGUGGGGAAUCUUCGACAAUGGGCGAAAGCCUGAUCCAGCCAUGCCGCGUGAGUGAAGAAGGUCUUCGGAUUGUAAAGCUCUUUAAGUUGGGAGGAAGGGCAGUGAGUUUAUACCUUGCUGUUUUGACGUUACCAACAGAGUAAGCCCCGGCUAACUUCGUG